UCGGAUAUGGUGUAACGGCUAACAUUACCGCCUUUCAUUGCUUAAGCGCCAACUGUUCCCGCGGUAGCUUAGGGUUCGAUUCCCCGUAUCCGAA
rnacentral:tRNA from 1 species